rnacentral:rRNA from 1 species
UCAGUAACACGUAGUCAACAUGCCCAGGGGACGUGGAUAACCUCGGGAAACUGAGGAUAAACCGCGAUAGGUCACUACUUCUGGAAUGGGUAAUGACCCAAACCUAUAUGGCCCNCUGGAUUGGACUGCGGCCGAUCAGGCUGUUGGUGAGGUAAUGGCCCACCAAACCUGUAACCGGUACGGGCUCUGAGAGGAGGAGCCCGGAGAUGGGCACUGAGACAAGGGCCCAGGCCCUAUGGGGCGCAGCAGGCGCGAAACCUCUGCAAUAGGCGAAAGCUUGACAGGGUUACUCUGAGUGAUUUCCGUUAAGGAGAUCUUUUGGCACCUCUAAAAAUGGUGCAGAAUAAGGGGUGGCAAGUCUGGUGCCAGC